GAUGCAAGGGCAAGGCUCAGAGUGACCAGAGUUUUUUAAUAAAGUUAAUUGUGGAGAAGGUUGAUUCACAGCAGUAUGUGGAGCCAGUAUGUGUAUAGUGCCAGUAUCUUGAGAACAGGGACAUCAGCUGCAUGCACUAUCUUUCCCCAGAAAGUAACAGGGUCACAAUCACCAGCCUGCUCCUUCAAAGACACAUUUUUUUGCAGCUCAAUCAACUCCAUUUCAUCUACCCAUCUGAAGAUCUGACAACUUUGUCACAUUUGUGACCAAUAAGGGGUUCUGGAUGAGCAGCAGCAGUUCUCUGCCAACAGUGAAGUCAUCAAAGCGUGCCUUGAAUUGGCACAUUUCAAACUGUCCUUUUGUGAGGUGUAGGCGGGAACUAGUUCAGCACGUGCUCAAGCCAGGUUACGAACUUCCCUUUCUCACCUCUUUCAGCAAACAGGUAGUUAGUACCUGCGCUAUAUAAGCAAUCCACAGAUUAAGUUAUCAAGGAAUGGCCAAUGUACCCUGUGUUGUGCUUACUACAGAUAUAUGGACCUCCAGGGCUACAGAGAGGUACUUAAUUAACAUACUUCUUCUGCUCAGUGUAGGCCUACAACACAAGAAGACUAGAACAGUGCUAAAUGGUGUAUAUAAUGAAGUGCUGCUCAUGGGUCCUUCACCACUCUGCCAGAGAGUCAGCUCUUUCAUACAGAGAACUCAGAGCGUCUGAACCCCACUGGAGGGCAGUAUUUAUCCACCAGGAGAUUGCAGUAGCACCUCACCUCACACUGAGGCUCUCUAAUGGCACAGAGCGGCUCCCACAACGUCACAGACACAGAGGGAUAGAGGUCUCCAUCAUCUUUGGGGUACUAGUUGAAUUACAACAUUGGGAAUGAGAUUAAUAUAAUUGUUUUAAAAUCAAACCAAUUCUCAAUGACUCAACACUUUCAGACUAUAACAGAAUGUGUGAGAAAGUACAAAGACAAGAGAAGCAGGUCUGGAUGUGUUUUACUCCUUGUUGAAGUAAUAAACGAAUCAAAUCACAUUUUAUUGGUCACAUACACAUGGUUAGCAGCUGUUAUUGCGAGUGUAGCAAAAUGCUUGUCCUUCUAGUUUUGCAAUAAUAUCUAACAAGUAAUCUAACAAUUCCACAAAAACUACCUAAUACAUACAAAUCUAAGGAAAGGGAUGGAAUAAGAACAUAUACAUGCAAAUAUAUUGAUGAGCGAUGACCGAGCGGCAAAGGCAGCAUGCAAUAGAUGGCAUAAAAUACAGUAUAUACAUAUGAGAUGAGUAAUGCAAGAUAUGUAAACAUUAUUAAAGUGACAUUAUUAAAGUGA